UACGAAGGGGGCUAGCGUUGUUCGGAGUUACUGGGCGUAAAGGGCGCGUAGGCGGCCCUCCAAGUCGGGCGUGAAAGCCCACGGCUCAACCGUGGAAUUGCGCUCGAGACUGAAGGGCUCGAGGACGGGAGAGGAUGGUGGAAUUCCCAGUGUAGAGGUGAAAUUCGUAGAUAUUGGGAAGAACACCGGUGGCGAAGGCGGCCAUCUGGCCGUAUCUGACGCUGAGGCGCGAAAGCGUGGGGAGCAAACAGG
rnacentral:rRNA from 1 species